GGCUGCUUUGUGUGCGUGUCUUUUUGGCAUUUAUGGAGCUUAGUUGUUUUUUGUGUUUGUAUGUUCUAAGAUUUUGUUUUUUUUGAUGGUCAAAUAGUGUGUGUGCUGAGCGUGGUUGGCAGGAGGAGGUGGGGAGCAGCUCAGGACUGGUAGGUUUGGUUUCUCGGGGUGUGCGGCAGCCUUCCUGUGCAAUGCGACUGAUUGUUGGCCAGAACGUUCCAGCUUGUGUGUCUUAGGCAAUGUAGCUUGUGUAGUUUGUGUUGUGUGGCCCGGGCAGAGUUUGCUGUGCUGCUGUGAGCGAAGAAUCUGAGUUAGAGCUGGUGAGCAGCUGAAGUACCGGAGCUGGGAAGAGAGAGGUCUUGCAGCAGGUACGCUGUGGCUGUGAGGUGCCUCAGAGUGUGCGUUUCUCUUGUCUUUACAGGUGCUUGGUUCAGUUGUGGAGAGGGAAGGGAAAUCCUCAUGUCACGAAGCUCUGAGGGAAGGUUGAAAUGCAGUGUGCAGUUCGCAGUGCAGGACCUCUCGACCCGAGCUGCCUCUGCAGUGACUCUGGUGGUGUGGAUGAUACUGGCUGCACUGUUGGAGCUUGGUUUCGGAGAGGAAGAGGUGAGCAGAACCGUAUGUUGCAUCAGCAGUAGUCAGCAUUGUGGAGAAGGUGGGCAUCAUGGCCGGCGUGCUAGUGAAUGCUGGUACUCUGUUUUUUGCAGCUGAUGAUGAGCCUUCAAUUGACUAAGCUGACAAUCGGUGCCUGUGCAUUUCUUGAGUAGAGUGUAAACCCUAGGAGGAGCCUGUCACAGGAAAAAGCUCCUCCUGGAACUGUUCAGCACUCAGUAGGCAACUUGAUGACUGGCCUGAUCUACUUCUGAGGUGCUGAGGCAAGGGGGCUGCUGUUUUGAAACGAUAAU
rnacentral:lncRNA from 1 species